rnacentral:rRNA from 1 species
UACGUAGGGGGCAAGCGUUGUCCGGAAUCAUUGGGCGUAAAGCGCGUGUAGGCGGUCCGGUAAGUCCGCUGUGAAAGUCGGGGGCUCAACCCUCGAAUGCCGGUGGAUACUGUCGGGCUAGAGUGCGGAAGAGGCGAGUGGAAUUCCUGGUGUAGCGGUGAAAUGCGCAGAUAUCAGGAGGAACACCGAUUGCGAAGGCAGCUCGCUGGGACGUAACUGACGCUGAGACGCGAAAGCGUGGGGAGCAAACAGG